GGGCCCGCACAAGCGGAGGAACAUGUGGUUUAAUUCGAUGAUACGCGAGGAACCUUACCCGGGCUCGAACGGCUAUAGAAUAACGAUGAAAGUUGUUAGCCAGCAAUGGCUGUAGUCGAGGUGCUGCAUGGUUGUCGUCAGCUCGUGCCGUGAGGUGUCGGCUUAAGUGCCAUAACGAGCGCAACCCCUACCGGUAGUUACCAGCAGGUAAAGCUGGGGACUCUGCCGGGACUGCCACCGCAAGGUGCGAGGAAGGUGGGGAUGACGUCAAAUCAGCACGGCCCUUACGUCCGGGGCGACACUUACGUGUUACAAUGGGGGGGACAAAGGGCAGCUACCCGGCGACGGGAUGCCAAUCUCCAAACCCUCUCCCAGUUCGGACUGGAGUCUGCAACCCGACUCCACGAAGCUGGAUUCGCUAGUAAUCGCGCAUCAGCCAUGGCGCGGUGAAUACG
rnacentral:rRNA from 1 species